GGGGCAGUAGCUAAGUGGCAGAGCUCCCGCCCCGUAUGGGGGGAGACCCGGGUUCGAUUCCCGGCUGCUCAU
rnacentral:tRNA from 1 species